rnacentral:rRNA from 1 species
AUGAACGCUAGCUACAGGCUUAACACAUGCAAGUCGAGGGGCAGCAUUUUAGUUGCUUGCAAACUGAAGAUGGCGACCGGCGCACGGGUGAGUAACACGUAUCCAACCUGCCGAUAACUCCGGAAUAGCCUUUCGAAAGAAAGAUUAAUACCGGAUAGCAUACGAAUAUCGCAUGAUAUUUUUAUUAAAGAAUUUCGGUUAUCGAUGGGGAUGCGUUCCAUUAGUUUGUUGGCGGGGUAACGGCCCACCAAGACUACGAUGGAUAGGGGUUCUGAGAGGAAGGUCCCCCACAUUGGAACUGAGACACGGUCCAAACUCCUACGGGAGGCAGCAGUGAGGAAUAUUGGUCAAUGGGCGAGAGCCUGAACCAGCCAAGUAGCGUGAAGGAUGAAGGCUCUAUGGGUCGUAAACUUCUUUUAUAUGGGAAUAAAGUUUUCCACGUGUGGAAUUUUGUAUGUACCAUAUGAAUAAGGAUCGGCUAACUCCGUGCCAGCAGCCGCGGUAAUACGGAGGAUCCGAGCGUUAUCCGGAUUUAUUGGGUUUAAAGGGAGCGUAGGUGGAUUGUUAAGUCAGUUGUGAAAGUUUGCGGCUCAACCGUAAAAUUGCAGUUGAAACUGGCAGUCUUGAGUACAGUAGAGGUGGGCGGAAUUCGUGGUGUAGCGGUGAAAUGCUUAGAUAUCACGAAGAACUCCGAUUGCGAAGGCAGCUCACUAGACUGUCACUGACACUGAUGCUCGAAAGUGUGGGUAUCAAACAGGAUUAGAUACCCUGGUAGUCCACACAGUAAACGAUGAAUACUCGCUGUUUGCGAUAUACAGUAAGCGGCCAAGCGAAAGCAUUAAGUAUUCCACCUGGGGAGUACGCCGGCAACGGUGAAACUCAAAGGAAUUGACGGGGGCCCGCACAAGCGGAGGAACAUGUGGUUUAAUUCGAUGAUACGCGAGGAACCUUACCCGGGCUUAAAUUGCAACAGAAUAUAUUGGAAACAGUAUAGCCGUAAGGCUGUUGUGAAGGUGCUGCAUGGUUGUCGUCAGCUCGUGCCGUGAGGUGUCGGCUUAAGUGCCAUAACGAGCGCAACCCUUAUCUUUAGUUACUAACAGGUCAUGCUGAGGACUCUAGAGAGACUGCCGUCGUAAGAUGUGAGGAAGGUGGGGAUGACGUCAAAUCAGCACGGCCCUUACGUCCGGGGCUACACACGUGUUACAAUGGGGGGUACAGAAGGCGGCUACCUGGUGACAGGAUGCUAAUCCCAAAAACCUCUCUCAGUUCGGAUCGAAGUCUGCAACCCGACUUCGUGAAGCUGGAUUCGCUAGUAAUCGCGCAUCAGCCAUGGCGCGGUGAAUACGUUCCCGGGCCUUGUACACACCGCCCGUCAAGCCAUGAAAGCCGGGGGUACCUGAAGUACGUAACCGCAAGGAGCGUCCUAGGGUAAAACUGGUAAUUGGGGCU